AACGCACAUUGCGCCCGCUGGAAUUCCAGCGGGCAUGCCUGUUCGAGCGUCAUUUCACCCCUCAAGCCUUGCUUGGUGUUGGAGCACUACCGUUUGUAUAAAGCGGUAGGCUCUGAAAUUCAGUGGCGGGCUCGCUAAGACUCUGAGCGUAGUAGUUUAUCACCUCGCUUUGGAAGAAUUAGCGGUGCUCUUGCCGUAAAACCCCCCAAAUUUCUGAAUUUUGACCUCGGAUCAGGUAGGAAUACCCGCUGAACUUAA
rnacentral:misc_RNA from 1 species